rnacentral:tRNA from 1 species
GUUGAGGUUCAGUGGUAGAGCGCUUGCCUCGCACAUGUGAGGCACUGGGUUCAAUCCUCAGCACAACA